UUGAGUUUGAUCAUGGCUCAGGACGAACGCUGGCGGCGUGCCUAACACCUGCAAGUCGAACGAAGUAUAUUUUUCGGAGUAUACUUAGUGGCGGACGGGUGAGUAACGCGUGAACAAUCUGCCCUAUACAAAGGAAUAGCCUCGGGAAACCGGGAUUAAAACCAUAUAACACUUUUCGGUCGCAUGACUGAGAAGUCAAAUUAAUUAAGAGGUAUAGGAUGAGUUCGCGUCUGAUUAGCUAGUUGGUGAGGUAAUGGCUCACCAAGGCGACGAUCAGUAGCCGGCCUGAGAGGGUGAACGGCCACACUGGAACUGAGACACGGUCCAGACUCCUACGGGAGGCAGCAGUGGGGAAUAUUGCACAAUGGGCGAAAGCCUGAUGCAGCGACGCUUUUUUAGUGAAGAAGGUCUUCGGAUCGUAAAACUCUGUCCUUGGGGAAGAUAAUGACGGUACCCAAGGAGGAAGCCCCGGCUAACUACGUGCCAGCAGCCGCGGUAA
rnacentral:rRNA from 1 species